rnacentral:rRNA from 1 species
UGGGGAAUAUUGGACAAUGGGCGAAAGCCUGAUCCAGCCAUGCCGCGUGUGUGAAGAAGGUCUUCGGAUUGUAAAGCACUUUAAGUUGGGAGGAAGGGCAGUAAGCGAAUACCUUGCUGUUUUGACGUUACCGACAGAAUAAGCACCGGCUAACUCUGUGCCAGCAGCCGCGGUAAUACAGAGGGUGCAAUCGUUAAUCGGAAUUACUGGGCAUAAAGCGCGCGUAGGUGGUUCGUUAAGUUGGAUGUGAAAGCCCCGGGCUCAACCUGGGAACUGCAUCCAAAACUGGCGAGCUAGAGUAGGGCAGAGGGUGGUGGAAUUUCCUGUGUAGCGGUGAAAUGCGUAGAUAUAGGAAGGAACACCAGUGGCGAAGGCGACCACCUGGGCUCAUACUGACACUGAGGUGCGAAAGCGUGGGGAGCAAACAGG